UUCAGUACACACCAUAUAGUGGUUGGUGUUAGGAAUAUAUUACAAAGUCAUUUGAUUGACUGUUGAUUGGACAUCCUUACAAUUUCAGCACAUUCCAACAGUGUCAGUUACUCCAGUAGUUCCAGUCAUCAUUGAUGCUACCAACAAAUGUCUGAGGUUCUUUUUCCCCCACCUUCUUUCUGUUAUAAACAAGCAAAUGAAUACAUCAUAGAACUUCCUAUUGCAUGUACAUCUACAAGAGUGCUAGCAUCAUAAUUCAGUUGAAAGUACCAGGAAAUUAUAGCUGGUGAUAUGUAAGUUUGAUUCCCAGUUGGGUAGUUUUGGUUCAGCCAUCCCUUGUAAAUGUGUUUUCUGGUAAUAGUGUGUAGUUUAUGGGCAAUUCCACUCAAAAGGUGACAAAAACUGAAAAAUUAUAAUAAAACUGUGCUACCAUGAUUUAUGUAUUUUUGUGUUCCCAUAAGCCAAUAGGAUUUAAAAAAGUAAAAACAAUUUCUGUGGAAUUACUGUCAUGUGACCAGAGCAGCCAUCUUGGAUCUAGUGUGGAAAAUGGCAAUUUGACAGCAAGGACAAAAGGUCUGCACCGUUUAAAAAAAUAUUUGCCUGGUAAUUUCUUUUAAACAAGCUUUGGUCUUGUGAUGCCAGUAUGAAGCUUCCAGUCUCUACUUUCAAUCCUUAACACCUCAGCUACUGUUGGACUGUCUCUGGGUGAAGAUCAGAAUUUUGGCUUUGAAGGAUAUAUUGCCAUGCAGGGACUUCUGACUCCAUCAUUCUAAUUUUAAAACAUGGCAUUGGAAUUUUUGACAGAAGGGCAGAGGGAGGAAGAUAGUUUUUAGAAUAGCAACUAUAACACUGUUUUCUCUCUGCUAAUGAUUAUCAGCCAAAACAUCACCACCAAAACCACCAUCACCACUGCAACAGGUGGCAGUGAUAACAGCAACAACAACAGUGGUGGUAACAUUAACAGAAAAGCAAAAGAAUGAAUCAUGACAAUGAGAACACUACCACCAUCUCCAUUUCUAUCAGCAUCAUCACUACCAAAACCACCACCAACACUACCACUGCAACAGCUUGCAGUAGCAGCAGCAAAACCUUCAACAAGAACAAGCCAAACAAAGUAGUGUAUUGUGACAGAGAAAGUCCUAUCUUGUCCCUCCCCCCUGCCACACACACCUUCCAGCACUGCCACUAUCUUGUCAGCAGCAACCACUAACAAUAGUAAUAAGAAUGCUGCUGCCAUUGGUACUGGUUCAGUUGCCAGUGAAAAUAAAAAUAUUUCUAAACUUUGGUUUUGCACAAACAUAAUUUUAGCUACUGAAAUAACUGAACUGUCAACCAAAAGUAUGACACAAGCAUAGAGGCUUCUGGAAAAGGUGGAAGAGCAGUUCACUUGCAUGUGUCUGGGUCCAUUCUGCAAGGAACCCAUAGAAGAAUAACUAUAUGUAAAGACAUAGGCAUGAUGAUCAACUGGGUGAUUCAGGCUCAAAUAGAAAGGUACCUAAAAUCAAUCUGGGCCCUAAAGACAAUAUUUUAAGAGGUAGACAGUCUGACAUAGUGGAAGUAAGCUUUUUGACCAAAAUCAAAACUAGAAAAGACAUUCCAUAUACCAUCUUAAAAAUAACGAUAUGGUCUUCAGAUCACCCAGUGUAAGCUGGCAAAUGACAGUAUUAAAAAUGGUCAGUGUUUCAGAGUAAUAGUUUUGUUCUUAAGAAGCCUUGAUCUCUAGAUAUGGGCCAUCUUGCUAGACCCAGAAUGAAAGUUGGUGGUACUGAAAGCGAUCAGCUGUGAAAGUCAUAUUUUCUGACUACCAUCUAUUUAUGAUUUCACAGAAGCUAGGAAAGUGGAUUCUUUUAAAGCACAGAAGCUAAGAAAGUGGAUUCUUUUAAAGCUCCAAGAAACUUUAAGCAUAUUCUACGCAAUAUCUAGUGGGAAAAUGAGAAAGUAUUUUAGAUACAUGUUCUAUUUUUAUUUCUUGUGAGGAAGAAAGAUGUAGUCCACUGAUCAACUCACUUGUCUUCUGUUAACAUAUACUGCACAGUCAACUGGGUAUGCAAUAACUGGUGAUGGGCAGACAUGCACUGCAGUUGCAGCAAAUAUUCUCUGAUGGUGACCAAAUAUGUGCACCCAUUGUCAGGCAUGUCUUUCCACAUCCUGUCUCUAGUGGAACUGCAGUCCUCCUCCUCAUCAUCAUUAUUUAGUGUCCGUUUUCCAUGUUGACAUGGGCUGGACGGUUUGACUGAGAACUGGUAAGCUGUGGAAAUGCACCAGGUUCCAUUCUGUUUUGACUUGGUUUUUACAACUCAAUGCCUUUCUUAAUACCAACCACUCCAAGUGUAGUGGGUACUUUUUACAUGGCACAGGUGUCAGUUACCUAACACUGGCAUUGGCCAUGACUGUGAUCUCACUUGGCUUGACAGGUCCUCUGUGAGGACCAAUAUUUGAAUGGUGCUUUUUAUGUGCCACUAGCAUGGGUGCCAGUUACAUGGCACUGGCAUUGGUCAUGAUUACGAUUUCACUUGGCUUGACAGGUUUUUUUGAGCACAACAUUUCGCCCAAUGUUUGAAGGGUGCUUUCUACAUGUCAAUUAUGCAACACUGGCAUCAAUCAUGACUAUGAUCUCACUUGGUUUGACAGGUUUUCUCAAAUACAGCAUAUUGUCAAAGUUCUUGGUUAUUUGUUAUCGCCUCCAUGAGGCCCAACAAUUGAAGAUCAUGCUUCACCAACUCGUCCCUUGUCUUUCUGGGUCUACCUCUUCCACCAAGACUGAGCUCUUGACACAUAGAAUGUUUACAGCUAUUUGAUCCUUGUUCUUAUACCAGUGCUUAUGAAAUAAGCAAAUUACAAAACUUGACAAUGGUGUUGCUGAUAGAGCAAGGAAAAUUUCUUGGUGAUAUAAAUUUACAGUCAAUUGAAGAUGUCUCAACUUGGCUCCUGGCAGUGGAAGCAAAAGCUUACGUGGAUGAAUUAAGGAAUAACCGACAAGAUAAUGACCUAAGUCCUAUGGCUAUGAAAUUCAUUUCUUUGGUAGGAAUACAAGGAUUAAAAAUUAUCUGAGAUAUUAAUAUCCCUAAGAAUAUUAUGAAAAUGUCUUAUGAUGACCUAAAAAUUUGAUUCUAAAUCAUAUUGCUCCUUCAAAGAAACUGAUAUUAACCGAAAGAACAAAAUUCUUCUCCACUAUUCAACAACCCAAUGAGUCUGCUUAAUCACAACAAAUCAUCAAGGCAACACUGAGAUCAAAAACAAACAU